rnacentral:rRNA from 1 species
UACAGAGGUGGCAAGCGUUGUUCGGAAUUACUGGGCGUAAAGGGCGCGUAGGCGGCCCGUCAAGUCCCGUGUGAAAGCCCCCGGCUCAACCGGGGAACGGCGCGGGAAACUAGCAGGCUUGAGUUCGGGAGAGGGAAGCGGAAUUCCGGGUGUAGCGGUGAAAUGCGCAGAUAUCCGGAGGAACACCGGUGGCGAAGGCGGCUUCCUGGACCGACACCGACGCUGAGGCGCGAAAGCUAGGGGAGCAAACGGG